GUUAAAAAAGUUUUCAGUUCUGGAUUAGCCGUUGCUAGCAUACGAUUAGCGUUUUAGAAACAGAAUAAAAAUAACUAUGAUCGUGUCUGGAUCAAAUAAUUUGUCAGACGACUCGGACGAUGAAGUUGAAAACAGUGAGGUGGAUACAUAUCGUCGUAAAUACCAGCUACUGUUAGAACGAUGUGAAGUUCUGCAACAGGAUAAUGAACGACUAGUUCACAGGAUUCAGCAAGUUAGAAAGUUGCUACGGAGAUCACGGAAAGAGCGUAAGUUCCUAAUGGACCGCCUGGAUCAGCGUGGGGAUAACUGGCGCAAUGUACAAUUACCAAUUCCUCUAGACGAGCCUCUUAAUACACCCAGUACCGUCAAACCCGACAAGAACCAACACCAAAAGGUUGGGACUGGAUCUACAACAAAGUCCACAAGUUCAGCAGACAAGGGAGGAAAAAAGAAUACGGUCUCAAGUUCUGGUGGUACUAAACGGAAGAGCGGCAAGAACAACGAGAAGGUGGAACGUGAUCCAAAUGCACCCAAACGCCCAGCAAAUCCAUUUUUCCAAUUCUGCCAAGAACAGCGUCCAAUUGUAAUGGAGCGACUUGGCCUGCAACAGAAGUCUGGAGAAGCGGAACCUUCAAAACAGGAGCUGACCAGACAGUUGGCAAGCAAGUGGAACACCUUGCUGCCCGAAGAUAAGAAGGUAAGAUAACAUCACAAUGAAGAGAUUCUGCACUGAAAAUACUGAGCAUUAAACUCUGUACUAAUUUGUUUCCUCGUUUAUGCUGCUAGGAAUUUUUUUAAUAAUCCACUGUUGGUUUACUAUGAUAUGUAUGAAAAAUCAAAAGAGAAAUAUGCAGUAGAAAUGCAGUUAUACAGCAGUAGAACGAAGCCAC